rnacentral:rRNA from 1 species
AACGAACGCUGGCGGCAUGCCUAACACAUGCAAGUCGAACGAAGCCUUCGGGCUUAGUGGCGCACGGGUGCGUAACACGUGGGAAUCUGCCCUUAGGUACGGAAUAACUCAGGGAAACUUGAGCUAAUACCGUAUGAUGUCUUCGGACCAAAGAUUUAUCGCCUAAGGAUGAGCCCGCGUCGGAUUAGCUAGUUGGUGGGGUAAAGGCCUACCAAGGCGACGAUCCGUAGCUGGUCUGAGAGGAUGAUCAGCCACACUGGGACUGAGACACGGCCCAGACUCCUACGGGAGGCAGCAGUGGGGAAUAUUGGACAAUGGGCGAAAGCCUGAUCCAGCAAUGCCGCGUGAGUGAAGAAGGCCUUCGGGUUGUAAAGCUCUUUUACCCGGGAAGAUAAUGACUGUACCGGGAGAAUAAGCCCCGGCUAACUCCGUGCCAGCAGCCGCGGUAAUACGGAGGGGGCUAGCGUUGUUCGGAAUUACUGGGCGUAAAGCGCACGUAGGCGGCUCUACAAGUCAGGGGUGAAAGCCCGCGGCUCAACCGCGGAAUUGCCCUUGAGACUGUAUCGCUUGAACACGGGAGAGGUGAGUGGAAUUCCGAGUGUAGAGGUGAAAUUCGUAGAUAUUCGGAAGAACACCAGUGGCGAAGGCGGCUCACUGGACCGUAGUUGACGCUGAGGUGCGAAAGCGUGGGGAGCAAACAGG